UCCCUGGUGGCUGAGUUGGUAAAGAAUCCACCUGCAAUGCGGGAGACCUGGGUUCAACCCCUGGCCUGGGAA
rnacentral:tRNA from 1 species